GAAAGAUUAGUUAAGAAAUAACAUUAGUAUGUCAAACUAAAAUCAUUAAAAAUUAAUAUCUUUUU
rnacentral:tRNA from 1 species